UAUUUUGUGGCUUAGUUGGUUAAAGUGCUGGAAUAGCAAUACAGAGUAAUGGGUUCAAAUCCCAUCAAAACAA
rnacentral:tRNA from 1 species